GGGGAGGUGCCGGAGAGGACGAUCGGGGCCGCCUGCUAAGCGGUUGUACGGCCUAAAAGCUGUACCCAGGGUUCGAAUCCCUGCCUCCCCGCCU
rnacentral:tRNA from 1 species